AACCCAUAGUGAGGGCACAUUCUCAAUAAAUCCUUGUACCUCUCCCAUGCAUCAUAUAGAGUCUCUAAAUUGAUCUAACAAAGGAAGAGAUAUAGUUCCUCAACUU
rnacentral:snoRNA from 1 species